GCGCGCGUUUUGAUUGUCUGUCACGCUACCACGACAUUGCAGUUGUUUGUUUUCAAGAAAGCUUAUUAUUUACACGUGUUUUAAAGUCAUAUCAGUUUAAACUUCUGAUAUACCGUUUUCUGAGCGCAGACAUCCGAAGUAAACGUGCAGAAAGCGUCUGUCACACGGAAUGUGAGAAUAAUUUGGUUCUACAUGAUUCUACUUUUCAUCUCCACCUAAAGCCUCUGAAGACAAUAGGAUGUGAGCCUGUCACUGAAUGUCAUGAAGCUCAUCUCAUCCUACGCAGAGGAAGGACAGCGACCCAAACAAACGCUCCAAAAACAGUCAGGAAAACAGAAAUGCUAAUGAAUCAGUCAGCUUCUGGUACGGGCCGGUGCUCCAGACCACUCUGAAUCUACAGCUGCAGGAAAAGCAUCACAGGAAGAGACUGAAGCACUCUGAGCCGGCGUUCUCCAGCAGUGGUGAGGUACAGUACGACACCAAACAGCAGAACACAAUUAAAUCUAGAUUAAUUACCUACAGACAUGCUGCUAUUUCUGCCGACUCCGAGCGUUUGGAGGUAAGCCCAACAUGAGUAAUCAUCUAGAGCUGUAGAGAUGAGGUGAUGCUGAGACACGGCAAGAAUUUACUAAUAAUCCGCCUGGCAGGAUUCAGAGCCGCAUGAAACACAAAAUACUGCCAAAUAUGUUGGGUAUGAAGGUUACGAGUCCUCAUGUAGUAAUUAUGCAGGUACAGUAGAGAUUUGACCUUCUUCAACAACUUUCCCGAAAUUAACGGUAGAUGCAUUCUGCAUAUGAGAUUUCGUAACGUGAAAUUCCCAUUUAAAGUCAAGUCAAACACUUUGUGUUGUAGAACCAUAUCUGA